GUUAAUGUAGCUUAAAUAAAGCAAGGCACUGAAAAUGCNUAGAUGAGUACAUCAUACUCCAUAAACA
rnacentral:tRNA from 1 species